AGUGAACGCUGGCGGUAGGCCUAACACAUGCAAGUCGAACGGCAGCACAGUAAGAGCUUGCUCUUACGGGUGGCGAGUGGCGGACGGGUGAGGAAUACAUCGGAAUCUACUUUUUCGUGGGGGAUAACGUAGGGAAACUUACGCUAAUACCGCAUACGACCUACGGGUGAAAGCAGGGGAUCUUCGGACCUUGCGCGAUUGAAUGAGCCGAUGUCGGAUUAGCUAGUUGGCGGGGUAAAGGCCCACCAAGGCGACGAGCCGUAGCUGGUCUGAGAGGAUGAUCAGCCACACUGGAACUGAGACACGGUCCAGACUCCUACGGGAGGCAGCAGUGGGGAAUAUUGGACAAUGGGCGCAAGCCUGAUCCAGCCAUACCGCGUGGGUGAAGAAGGCCUUCGGGUUGUAAAGCCCCUUUGUUGGGAAAGAAAAGCAGCAGGUUAAUACCCCGCUGUUCUGACGGUACCCAAAGAAUAAGCACCGGCUAACUUCGUG
rnacentral:rRNA from 1 species